CCCAGGAGGAACCCCAGCUUCUGUACAGUAUUUCUGUUUACUGUCAGCAGGCAAAGACCCAGGCUGGAGGACCAGCUCUAUCCCUUUACCAGCCAUUUGCUGGGGACAGUUGACAUACUACCUCUGAACUUCACUUUACUCAAUGGUAAAAUGGGGAUACUCCCCAGAAGAGUGGGAAGAGUCUGAGAUAACUCCAGGAAACAUGUUUCAUAAAGUGCUCUCCACAUAAAGCUGUUACAAGGAACUUGUCAGCAUUGGGGUAACCUGUUGAAAAGAACACUUCUGGAAUCCUGGAAAACGAACUCUGCAGGAACUCACUGUGUGGCCUUGGACAAGUCACUCUGCUCUACAAACCUCACUCUACUAAUGGAGAGUGUCUAUAAAGAGGAGUGUUGCAUAAGAGAACACACUCCAGACCCAGACACGCCUGCCCUCAAAUCUCAGUUUCUGUGGCUUACCAGCCAUUUGACCUUGACCUCUCAAAGUCUCAGUUUCCUCAUCUACAAACCAAGGUUAUUAAAAGUACCUAUCUAAUACGGUUAUCCUGAGGAUUAAACAAAA